AAGGAAGGCCAGGAAUAGGGAGUCGCGGGUGAAAGAGCCGCCAAAGAAACCAAAUGAGGCCAACUCCACUUGGCGCCGAAGUCUACGGGUAGGGCCGGAAGCUGAGCGCGGUGCGCGAGGGACUACGGGAGCAUACAGACCACAGCUGCCUGGGAAGACUGAAGAGUGAAAUUUCAGCAGAAUGUCCGGUGAGGAGCAGGAUCGUGCUAGGUGGAGAAGAUUCUAGAUUGAACGGACACCACAGAAAAGACAAGAAAGCGUGGAAGGGCGUGGCUUGAGGAAAAGGAGUCCUGGGUUUGCCCUCAGGUCGGGAAGCUGGGGCUUGAAGAAUGAGCAGGCAGGUGUCCAUGCAGAAGGCGGCGACGCUCAGCCCAUCUUACCCCAGAGACUCUCUCCAAGGCUUCCACACCUCUGAAAGCAGCUGUUGAACACGGAAAGGCCUGACGUGGAAUCCUGGCUAGCCGCUCAAUCACUGGACCCGUUCUUCCACUUUGCGUUCACCUCUGAAAGCUUGCUGCGGGCGUCCCCAACUUAGGGUUUAUUGGGAAGCAACCCAUCAUAAAUCCAGGAGCAUCUGUAUAGUUAUCUUGCAGAGGGCUGUGAGGUUUAAAAUGAGCUUUGGUGCUUAUCUUAAGGUUGAAUCCGAGCUUCCUCCCUCAUUAGUGGUGUGACUUCGGGCCAUUGAGGGGAGGAGGCCUGUGGUUGUUUAUAGCUGGCUGAAACUGUCUAUUUAUAAGGUGAAGGGGUUUUGUUUGUUUUUGAGACAGAGUCUUGCUCUCUCCCCCAGGCUGGAGUGCAGUAGCAUGAUCAAGCUCACUACAACCUCCACUUCCUGAGCUCAAGCAAUCCUCUCACCUCAGCAUUCCAAGUAGCUGGGACUACAGGUGUGCACCACCAUGCCGGCUAUUUUUUAAAUUUUGUAUAGAGAUGGGGUCUUGCUAUGUUACUUGGGCUUAUCUCAAGCUCCUGGGAUCACACGAUCCUCCCUCCUUGGCCUCCCCAAAUGCUGGGAUUACAGGCCUGAGAUGCCUAGGCCAGCAUGGUCCUAAUUUUCGAGACCCACGAUUGGAUUUGCCAGGGAAGCAGAUUCUGGAUGAGUUUACUGGAGAAUUUUCUGGUAGAGCUUGUUGUUCAUCUUCCUCCCAAAUUCAUGUUUAAAUUUGUUCCCCAAUAUGUUCGUAUAUGGAUAUGGGGCAUCUGGGAGGUAAUUACAUCAUAAAGGCAGAAACCCCAUGAAUGGGAUUAGUGCCCUUCUAAGAAGAGACCAGACAGCUAGUUUGCUCUCUAUAAGUCAUGUGAAAAUACAAGAAGCCAGCCAUCUGCUACUCAGAAGACGACCCUCACCAGACCCUACCCGUGCUGGCACCCUGAUGUCAGUAUUGUUUAAGUUUCUCGUAAUUUGUUAUAUCUGCCCAAAUCGACUAAGACAGCCACAUCAUCAAAGCCUUCUGCCUGUUAGGGCUUUUUUGUAGAAGGGAGAGAGUGUGAGUAUAAGGUUGGAUCUGAUUAUUUUAGCGAUUCCUUCCAACCUUACAUGUCUGUAAACUCCUUGAGGGCAGGCUUUGUAUAUUCUUUGAAUUGUCACCAUUCAGAGGAGAUGUUGGGAAAUACUAAAGCUGCUAGAGGAGCACAGCCUCAGGCCCUAGACAGCUCCGGGACGACGUUGGAUGUUCUCAUUUGAUUGUCGUGGCUGGGCUGUGGCAGGCUCUUACACUCCCUGAGCCUCAGUUUUCUCAUUGGUAAAAAUGCAGAGCAAUCGUCCCCCCUAGUCCUUCCCCCACAGAUUUGCUGAGAUAACAUAAAUUGAUAGAAGUGUGCACAUUGUAAAUAAGCAAUGUUUCCUUUGCCAGCUUUCAAUCUUGCUUUCCAAGUUGCUUGCCUUCUCCACUCACAGCAAGAAUAAGAAAAGACCUAUGCAAAGAGUACAGUCUGUGGGGUCUGACAGCCCUGGAUUUGAAUCCCUAAAUAGCACCAGCCACUUGCGUGACCCAGCCAAGUAGGGUGUCCUUGCUGGACCUCAGCACUAAAAAUAGCUCUCUUGCCUAGAUCUUCUGGGGUAAGCUUGGAGCCUGGUUUCUGCACUCAGACGUCCAUUAGUGGUGGCUUUUAAAUGUAUCUUUUCUGUAUUUUCUGUUAACCCCAUAUAUGUCUUUAUUCAUUAAAAAAAAUUUUUUUUUUGAGACAGGAUCUUGCUGUCUCUCCCAGGCUGGAGUGAUCAUGGCUUACUGCAGCCUCAACUUGGCUGGACUCAAGUGAUCCUCUUGCCUCAGUCUCCUGAGUAGCUGUGACUACAGUUUUGUGCCAUCCUGCCCAACUAAUUUUGGUGUUUUUCCCCCAAGAGAUAGAGUUUCCCUAUGUCGUCCAGGCUGGUCUUAAACUCCUGGACUCAAGCGAUCCCGGAGUCCUGAGAUUACAGGCAUGAGCUACUGCAUACAGCCUCCAUGCAGUCAAAACAGCACGGGGCAGCCUCGUUGGGCAGUUUUUGUGUUGUCUGGGAGACAUUCUUCCUCAGCCCCUGGGCACCUCUGUUGAAAACUUCCUGGCUGUCUGGCUUGCUGGAAAUCACCUCUAUUUGUUUUGCCCUGAAGAUGUGUUUUAUUUGUAACUCAUUCUGACUCUGUAGAAAACAAUUCAAUAAAAACUCAAUUGGUUUUCCA